AGAGAGUGUAUGUUUCAUAGUGGUGUGAAAGGGUUGAGCAACGAAUGAGGUUUUUUUAGUCCUAGGAAUUUGAGAAGAUUUGUCCAAAUUGGUGAUGAAAUCCAAGCUGCUCGAUUUCUUCUCGGACAUGGAUGAGCCCCUCAGGUAUGACAGAUCUCUCAGAGGAUCUCUGCCAGCAUGAAAAGUUCAUGUUCCAGUGAGGAGGCUCACCAUCACCUACGUCAUGUUACUUAGGAAUUAUAUACUGAGUUUGAUUGUGUUUCAAGAUAUUGAGUGUCCGUAAGAAUUUGAAACAGGCUACAGAUCAAUUUACUUUGAAAUUACGCAUGGGGCCGAUCCUCGCCUCCUCGGUGGUUAGAGUGAUUCUAUCUCGCAUGAUGAUUCCAGUACAUAUUGCAGGGGAGUAUAUAUUGUAUGUUUCAUGCUUUAGUUUUAAGUUUGAGGAGAGGUACAGAAGAAGGUUACAUAUAUUGCAGCUUCUUUGACUUCACAAUACUGAUAAAAAACUGCGCCCUCCGAUUCAUAAUAUUUUUCCCUAAUAUGGAUGUAUCUAGAACUAAAUGUGUCUAGAUACAUCUAUAUUGGCGACAAUUAAUAUGAAUCGGAGGGACUACUGUCAUUUUUCAAUUCGCUAGGUGUCCCUUUUUUUUACUUUAAUUUUCUUAGGGGUAGAUUACCAACUACUAAUUUAGUUUCUGAAAAUGGAAAUCGGAAGGCAACCUCUUUUUCAGAAAACCAAACAACUGUGGAAUAUAGAAGGGGAAUAUAGAUUCAUAUGUAUUUGAUUCAUGACUUCAUUGCAAGUUCUCAGUCCUGAACCCACAUUAUUCUACCAGCAAACCCUGUAUAAGCAUGUAGGUUGCUUGAUUUUAGUGAAGAAAGAAAACAUAUUUGAAACUCCACAUUCCGGCCAAUAAAUAUUUCACAAUUUUCUAUAGAGGCCACAUUUUGCGGUUAUGAUUUCCUGAAAUUGCACCAUUUUCUACAGGCCUGUUCAAGGGAACACGUUUAGGAUGUGGCAAGUAACUUAGUUUCUACACUUGUAUGGCGACGAGAGGUCAUGGUGAUUUAUUAUUUUGCAUUCUGCGAGUUUUUUACUAUUUAGCAUAUAUAUGUAGUAUUUUCCAGUAUUAUGGUUAUCUAACCAAGAAGGUUUACAUUGCCUUUCAAGUAGUUGCAUUGUCAUGAUAACUUGUUGUGAGUCAAGUCUCUGCUUUUCUUUUUCAGUAAAAUCUCUUGCUCGGUAAUGCAUUUAAGAAGAAAAUAGGAAAUACCCCUCUACAAUUACUCUCAUAAUAACUAAUAGCCACUACCCUGUGAAACAUGCAUCAGCUCGGGCAAUGAAUUAUCUUUUCGAGAAUAUAGGCAAUGAAUUAUCAUGCAGUCCCGUGCAUCUUUCUUAAUUCCCGUGCAUCUUUCUUAAUUCCAGUUUCAAAACAUCUUUCUUAAUUGUAGAGGGGAAAUACCCCUCUACAAUUACUCUCAUAAUAAUUAAUAGCCACUACCCUGUGAAACAUGCAUCAGCUCGGGCAAUGAAUUAUCUUUUCGAGAAUAUAGGCAAUGAAUUAUCAUGCAGUCCCGUGCAUCUUUAUUAAUUCCAGUUUCAAAACAUUUUUCAGAUUCAUGUAUGGUUUUUCUCAUCAAAUAUCAAGCAGGGCACUGCAAAGAGAACAGAAACCCAUCUCCACGGCAUGAAGACUGGUGUGUUGGGAAAUGCUCCAUGUUGAAAUUGAAACUUUUCAU